CGCCGCCGCCGCCUCCUCGCCGCCGCCACCUCGGCCCCUCACGAAGCGCCGGGCCGCUCGGGAACAUGGCCCUGGAGCAGCUCUGCGCGGUCCUCAAAGUGUUGUUAAUAACAAUACUUGUAGUCGAAGGGAUUGCUGUGGCCCAAAAGACCCAAGAUGGACAAAAUAUUGGAAUCAAGCAUAUUCCCGCAACCCAGUGUGGCAUUUGGGUUCGAACCAGCAAUGGAGGUCAUUUUGCUUCACCAAAUUAUCCUGACUCUUAUCCACCAAACAAGGAGUGUAUCUACAUUUUGGAAGCUGCUCCACGUCAAAGAAUAGAGUUGACCUUUGAUGAACAUUAUUAUAUAGAACCAUCAUUUGAAUGUCGGUUUGACCACUUGGAAGUUCGAGAUGGGCCAUUUGGUUUCUCUCCACUUAUAGAUCGUUACUGUGGCGUGAAAAGCCCUCCACUAAUUAGAUCAACAGGGAGAUUCAUGUGGAUUAAGUUUAGUUCUGAUGAAGAACUUGAAGGACUGGGAUUUCGAGCAAAAUAUUCAUUUAUUCCAGAUCCAGACUUUACUUACCUAGGAGGUAUUUUAAAUCCCAUCCCAGAUUGCCAGUUUGAGCUCUCGGGAGCUGAUGGAAUAGUGCGUUCUAGUCAGGUAGAACAAGAAGAAAAAACAAAACCUGGUCAAGCUGUUGAUUGCAUAUGGACAAUUAAAGCUACUCCAAAAGCCAAGAUUUAUUUGAGGUUCCUAGAUUAUCAAAUGGAGCACUCGAAUGAAUGCAAGAGAAACUUCGUUGCAGUUUAUGAUGGAAGCAGUUCCAUUGAAAAUCUGAAGGCUAAGUUUUGCAGCACUGUGGCCAAUGAUGUGAUGCUGAAAACAGGAGUUGGAGUGAUCCGAAUGUGGGCAGAUGAAGGUAGUCGGCUAAGCAGAUUCAGAAUGCUCUUUACUUCCUUUGUGGAGCCUCCGUGCACAGGUAGCACUUUCUUCUGCCACAGCAACAUGUGCAUCAAUAAUUCUUUAGUCUGUAACGGUGUUCAGAACUGUGCAUACCCUUGGGAUGAAAAUCACUGUAAAGAAAAGAAAAAAGCAGGACUGUUUGAACAAGUCACUAAAACCCAUGGAACAAUUAUUGGCAUCACAUCAGGGAUUGUCUUGGUCCUUCUCAUUAUUUCUAUUUUAGUACAAGUGAAACAGCCUCGAAAAAAGGUCAUGGCUUGCAAAAGUGCAUUUAAUAAAACUGGAUUUCAGGAAGUGUUUGAUCCUCCUCAUUAUGAGCUGUUCUCCCUAAGGGACAAAGAGAUUUCUGCAGACUUGGCCGACCUGUCAGAAGAACUGGACAACUACCAGAAGAUGCGGCGCUCCUCCACCGCCUCCCGCUGCAUUCAUGACCAUCACUGUGGGUCACAAGCAUCCAGUGUCAAACAGAGCAGGACCAACCUGAGUUCCAUGGAACUGCCUUUCCGAAAUGAUUUUGCACAACCACAGCCAAUGAAAACAUUUAACAGCACCUUCAAAAAGAGUAGCUACACUUUCAAACAGGCACAUGAGUGCCCUGAACAGGCCCUAGAAGACAGAGUAAUGGAGGAGAUUCCUUGUGAGAUUUAUGUCCGGGGGCGAGAAGAUUCUGCACAAGCGUCCAUAUCCAUUGAUUUUUAAUCUUCUACUAAGGGGACAUUAGUUAUUAAGUGUGUACGUAUGCAGUCUGCUGAGCACCCAUACUCUUCCGCCACCAACCCUUUUCUCCUAUCAGAACUAGGACGACCUUCAUUCCCACUAACCUACUGUAAUGGUGAAGCUUUUAUUGUCUCAGGCAGCCUAUGUGUUAAACCAAUCAAGGGACCUACUCCAGUCCAUGAACAAAGUAACAGUCACUAUUGCUUGGUGUCACACACACAAGGGCAUGAAGAGGCCUACAAAAUAGAGCCUUUAAAGAAGACAUUCAACAUUAAAACAGCAUAGAACUACAUAGCUUCAGGCAACUCCACUUAGCAAGUAAAGCUUGGACAAUGAUUUUGAUUCUAAAGUUUCUGGCUGCUAAAAGAAAUGAAAUAGUUUUUGUUUUUCACAGUAGAGGACCCAAACUUAUCUGCAGAGACUAGUUUUCUCCUCAACUAAAGAAAGAGGAUCUUUAUAUAGAACAACAUUUCCUCAGAAUUUAAAAAAAGAUGCAAAAUGCAGAGAGAAGUCAGAACAGUAAAUCUUUAUGUAGUGAAGGCACAUUUUAAUACAGUCUAGGAUCAUUGGGUUUGGAUCAUUGUGUCUUACGGGGGUUAGAACUGAAGAGGCAGAUGAUCAGUAUCCGCUGAGCCAGCCUUAAACUGCCACAUAGUGUAGGCCUUCAUCGAAGUAUAGAUGGGUAUGAGGCCUUGUUUAAACAUUUUUUAGCCAAACAUUUACUUGGCGGUACACUACAGGAAGAGAAGAGAGUGAAACUUCUUAGGCAUUAUUACCAGCACAAUGCUAAUUGCUGCAUUAUAUAGUCUUUCAUCUUUGAGGUCAGUAAGAAAACUUGACAAAUUGUUUACUAAAGUAAAAGCCAUAAAUUUUAGUAAUGGAAGAUGAACUUUAGCCAUCUUGCGGAAGUUAUUACACCCUUCACAGAAAAUAUAGAAGCCAGUUGUUAACCAUACAGUGGAAAAAAUGCAAAUCUGGAGGGGAGAAUAUUUUCAGUUCAGGAGCGGCCCUAAGAACAUCUCCAAUCCUGGGUUUCCUUUCACCUACGAUCCUGAGUUUAGCACAAGAUCUCAACACUCAAGUGCCCACAAAUUGCAGGAAACUAUGAACCCAACAUCUAAAGUAUGUACAAAUAAAGGCACCUUUUGUGGAGGGAAGUCUUCAACGUAAAGAUUUAACAAAAAGCAAAAGAUUUUCCACCUUUCACAACACAAAAGAGAUUAAAAAGGCUCCUUUCACUUUGACUUGUUAACAGCUUUUGUGUCUGUCAUGUU